rnacentral:rRNA from 1 species
AAGGCUUCAGUACGACCCAGUCAGAACUAUAAGUCUCAAAGCCCCGACGAGUAGGGUGGCGUGCCGGUGCGCGUUGAAGGCCAAGACGUGAGUCAGGCUGGAGCCGCCGGUAGUGCAGAUCUUGGUGGUAGUAGCAAGUACUCUGGUGAACCAACCUGGAGCUGUGAGGUCUGGAUUAGGGUUCCAUGUCAACAGUGAUUGAACAUGGGUGAGUCGAUCCUAAGCCAACUGUGAAAGCAGUGACAUCCCGACAAAGGGGCACUACAUGUGAUGCACUUACACCCCCAAAGCAAAGCUCUCGUAUUGCUCUCUCUCAAACAAAGUUCUCUCUGAGGAUAUGGUGUCUGGUUAUGGAAUAUAAGCGCACACACGGUGAUCACUACACAGUGUGAGUGUGUGCGCGUUGGUCUGGUUACGCUCAAAAGCGUUGUUGCUCUCUGAUAUGAUGUGAUGAAGCAUAAAACGAGAGAGAGAGAGAAACGGAGUGGGUGAGCGUGAGUGCAAAUUAUCUCAUGAGCACCCUGCGUCUGGUUCUAUGUCUGGCGAAAGGGAAUGGGGACUUUGUUCCUUGACCGGUCCUGGCACCCUCGAUUGGCUUUGCCAAUUAAUGGUCCAUGCAAAUGGAACCAGGCCACAGCCGUCGGCAGUCGCCCGAGGAAGAGUUUUCUUUUCUGCUUAACGCACGAGGUCAUCCCUGGAAACAGUUCGGCUGGCGAAAGGGUGCCCCGCUGCGGCAGAGCGCCACGACUGUCGUGCGCGUCUCGGUGUUCCUGCUGAUCCGUGAAGACGUGGUCGAGGGGAUUGCUCUUGUAUCAACGAAACGCCCGACAAGUUCGGGACGGACCGUACCCUAUAUCCGCAUCUGGUCUCCAAGGUUCGUAGCCUCUGCAGAGUCAGACACAUGUAGGUAAGGGAAGUCGGCAAACUCGAUCCGUAACUUCGGGAAAAGGAUUGGCUCUGAGGGCCGAGCUGGGCCGGGCCUUGCCUGCAAAGCAGUACCUAUAGUGACCGGAGUUUCAGGAGUGCGAGGGGCUCUAGUAGCUGCUUGUGCGUGUGUGCGUUCGCUCGUGCAUGCGUGUGGGCACGAACGAGUCCACCGCUCCGCUCCAACCACGAACGGCUGUGACGGCAAGGGCUCUGGGCGGGAGCGAUCGAUCCGUUGGCCCCCAGCUCGUCUGGGUGGCGGCGGUGCUCCGUCUGACCCAUACGGCUCCAGCGGCUAGCGGCUAACUCAGAACUGUCAUGGACCAAGGGAAUCCGACUGUCUAAUUAAAACAAAGCGUCGUGACGGCCCCUGUUGGGUGUUGACGCGACGUGAUUUC